rnacentral:rRNA from 1 species
GCCCGAGGACCCCUAAACUCUGUUUUUAGUGGAACUUCUGAGUAAAACAAACAAAUAAAUCAAAACUUUCAACAACGGAUCUCUUGGUUCUGGCAUCGAUGAAGAACGCAGCAAAAUGCGAUAAGUAAUGUGAAUUGCAGAAUUCAGUGAAUCAUCGAAUCUUUGAACGCACAUUGCGCCCGCCAGUAUUCUGGCGGGCAUGCCUGUUCGAGCGUCAUUUCAACCCUCAAGCUCAGCUUGGUGUUGGGACUCGCGGUAACCCGCGUUCCCCAAAUCGAUUGGCGGUCACGUCGAGCUUCCAUAGCGUAGUAAUCAUACACCUCGUUACUGGUAAUCGUCGCGGCCACGCCGUAAAACCCCAACUUCUGAAUGUUGACCUCGGAUCAGGUAGGAAUACCCGCUGAACUUAAGCAUAUCAAUAAGCGGAGGA